CUCGAGCGCGUCCGUGUUUGCGCGUUCACGAUUGGCAGCUCCACGUCGACAUUCUUCCAGCUGCGGAGUCCGGUACACGGGAGAGAGAGAGAGAGAGAGAGAGAGAGAGAGACACGAAAUCACCUCACCGACAUUGUCCAGGGCCUAAGGAAGGACGCCAAGUGCCAAAUUAACGCAAAAAAUCUUCGCUGGCUCUGAUAGUCUCGGCUGCCAUAUUUGGACAUGGCGUUUUUUUGUUUUUCUUUUUUUGCAUUUUCUCUCUUUCGCCUCGUGCAUAAUGUGCUGAGUUGCAGCUGUGAGGUCCAGCAGGCAGUGAGAAGAUGAGAAGUCCCAUAGUGAAGGAGGAUUAGCGUGCUUCUUCUCUGGCUUUCCAAGUAAAGUUCUGUGAUACACUCCGACUCUUAAUUGUUUGCAGUCAGUGCAUUACAGAACUUUGUUUUGAGAGUUUAAAGCUCUGGCCUGGAGGGAUCAAACUAUUACAUCUGGAGGGAGGGAUAACCACCCCACACAAGCCCCCUAGCAGCACUUAGCUCCAUCUCUCCCUUGCGGAUCACACACAAAUAAAACUGCUCAUUGUGACUGUCUUCCUUGAUAUCUCACUCAGUAGUUUGUAACAUCUGCGAUACAGUAACAUAAAAUAAAGAAAAGGCAUGUAAAGCACUGGCAAAGGUUUUGUAUUAGUAUGUAUACAAAUUAAUUAGCCAACAGUUUUCAAACAUAUCAUGUUCAUUUUGAUGUGACCAUAUUGCAGCCACCAGCAUAACUUCCAGUGGCCUUGUGUCUACAGAAAUAUACAUCAAGAAAACCAUAAAACAAUCAACUUGAGGAGUGUGUUGUGUCUAGUUGUGAGAAUUACCCUUCACCAGUCACUAUUCAACGUGUAAAGCAAAGCCCUGUAGUCUAAAGCUAUUAAAAUGGAGAGUGUGAGGUUUGGUGGGAGUUGUUACACAGUCAGACCCACAGGAGGCACACUACAGACUUAGUUGAUCUGAGAACAGUUUUGCCAUUUGACUUAAAUGGCUAAGGUGAACAUUUGGAUAAAUGGAGCUGCUCCUGUAACAGUGUCAAAGAUCAACUUCUACCCAGACUAGCACUUACCUGGCUUUCUGCUGAGGGUGUAUGACUCUACAGAAGAACAUAGGUAACAGGAGUAGAAGUAGGUUGCCACACCUCCCAGGCUUAACAUACUCAACCCACAUUGCAGUUCCUGCUUCAAACCCCCUGUGAAAUGAAAUUUGAUAUAAUUGAAAGUAACUCUACUACAAUCAGAAAAGCUGGUUUUGUUAGAAUUUUCGAGAGGCAAGAAAGGUUUCUAAGGACAUUUGUUACUCAUUUACAUAAAAAGGAAAGAAAUUAUUUUUUAAUUAAUGGAUGAUAUACUUUCCCUUCAUGUAAGUCUCUACAGUUUUUCAAUAUGCCAAGUGAUUGUGUAUGUCAUUUCAGCACAAUGAAGUGAUUAAACAUGUAAAACAAAAGCAAACCUAAUGUUUGCAGAGAUAAAAAAAAAAAGUGCCAUGUUAUGAUUGCGUACACAGUAUACAUUGUACAUUGUGCAAU